rnacentral:rRNA from 1 species
GACGAACGCUGGCGGCGUGCUUAACACAUGCAAGUCGAACGGAAAGGCCCCUUUGGGGGUACUCGAGUGGCGAACGGGUGAGUAACACGUGAGUAACCUGCCCUUGACUUCGGGAUAACUUCAGGAAACUGGGGCUAAUACCGGAUAGGAAUCCUUGCUGCAUGGUGGGGGUUGGAAAGCUUCGGCGGUUUUGGAUGGACUCGCGGCUUAUCAGCUUGUUGGUGGGGUAGUGGCUUACCAAGGCUUUGACGGGUAGCCGGCCUGAGAGGGCGACCGGCCACAUUGGGACUGAGAUACGGCCCAGACUCCGACGGGAGGCAGCAGUGGGGAAGAUUGCACAAGGGGCGGAAGCCUGAUGCAGAAACGCCGCGGGCGGGAUGACGGUCUUCGGGUUGUAAACCGAUUUCAGCAGGGGCGAAGCUUGUGGUGACGGUACCUGCAGAAGAAGCACCGGCUAACUACGUG